UAACCUGCCCAAGAGAUCGGGAUAACACCUGGAAACAGAUGCUAAUACCGGAUAACAACAGAUGAUGCCUAUCAACNGUUUAAAAGAUGGUUCUGCUAUCACUCUUGGAUGGACCUGCGGUGCAUUAGCUAGUUGGUAGGGUAACGGCCUACCAAGGCGAUGAUGCAUAGCCGAGUUGAGAGACUGAUCGGCCACAUUGGGACUGAGACACGGCCCAAACUCCUACGGGAGGCAGCAGUG
rnacentral:rRNA from 1 species